CACGUAGGGGGCUAGCGUUGUCCGGAAUCAUUGGGCGUAAAGAGCGUGUAGGCGGCCCGGUAAGUCCGCUGUAAAAGUCAAAGGCUCAACCUUUGAAUGUCAGUGGAUACUGCCGGGCUAGAGUCCGGAAGAGGCGAGUGGAACUCCUGGUGUAGCGGUGGAAUGCGCAGAUAUCAGGAAGAACACCAACGGCGAAGGCAGCUCGCUGGGACGGUACUGACGCUGAGACGCGAAAGCGUGGGGAGCGAACAGG
rnacentral:rRNA from 1 species